UGGGGAAUAUUGGACAAUGGGCGGAAGCCUGAUCCAGCAACGCCGCGUGAGGGAUGACGGCCUUCGGGUUGUAAACCUCUUUCAGCACAGACGAAGCGAAAGUGACGGUAUGUGCAGAAGAAGCACCGGCCAACUACGUGCCAGCAGCCGCGGUAAUACGUAGGGUGCGAGCGUUGUCCGGAAUUAUUGGGCGUAAAGGGCUCGUAGGCGGUUUGUCGCGUCGGGAGUGAAAACACACAGCUUAACUGUGUGCUUGCUUCCGAUACGGGCAGACUAGAGGUAUGCAGGGGAGAACGGAAUUCCUGGUGUAGCGGUGAAAUGCGCAGAUAUCAGGAGGAACACCGGUGGCGAAGGCGGUUCUCUGGGCAUUACCUGACGCUGAGGAGCGAAAGUGUGGGGAGCGAACAGGAUUAGAUACC
rnacentral:rRNA from 1 species